rnacentral:rRNA from 1 species
GGGGGGGGUGACGAUUACUGGGCGUAAGAGCGCGUAGGCGGCUCCUUGCGUCGGCGGUGUAAGCCCUCGGCUCAACCGGGGGAGGUCCGUCGAUACGGAGGGGCUGGAGCCCAGCAGAGGAGUGUGGAAUGCCCGGUGGAGGGGUGAAAUCCGUAGAUAUCGGGCAGAACGCCGGCGACGAAGGUGGCACUCUGGGCUGGUGCUGACGCUGAGGCGCGAAAGCUAGGGGAGCAAACGGGAUUAGAUACCCCGGUAGUCCUAGCCGUAAACGAUGCGCACUAGGUGUCGGGAGUCUCGACCCUCCCGGUGCCGGAGCUAACGCGGUAAGUGCGCCGCCUGGGGAGUACGGCCGCAAGGCUGAAACUCAAAGGAAUUGACGGGGGCCCGCACAAGCGGUGGAGCAUGUGGUUUAAUUCGAUGCUACGCGAAGGACCUUACCAGGGUUUGACAUGGUCGGUGAACGGUGCCCGAAAUGGUGCCGGUGCCGUCCUUCGGGGCGGAUCCUCCGAUCACCGGUGGUGCAUGGCUGUCGUCAGCUCGUGUCGUGAGAUGUUGGGUUCAGUUCCGCAACGAGCGCAACCCUCACCGCGUGUUGCCUCUGUCUCUUCGGAGACCGGCUCUCGCGCGGAACUGCCUCGGCAACGAGGAGGAAGGUGGGGAUGACGUCAAGUCAGCAUGGCCUUUAUGUCCAGGGCCACACACGUGUUACAAUGCGCGCUACAAAGCGUCGCGAACCCGCGAGGGGGAGCUAAUCGCAAAAAAGCGCGCUCAGUUCGGAUUGCAGUCUGCAACUCGACUGCAUGAAGCUGGAAUCGCUAGUAAUGGCGUAUCAGAACGACGCCGUGAAUACGUUCCCGGGCCUUGUACACACCGCCCGUCACAUCACGAAAGUGAGCUGUACUAGAAGUCGCCCCGCUAACCGCAAGGAGGCAGGCGCCCAAAGGUAUGGCCCAUGAUUGGGGUGAAGUCGUAACAAGGUAAC